ACUAAAAUGAAAUUAAAAGAAAAAGAAGUAGAAAAAUUAGAUAAAAAGGUGUUGGAAGCAUAGGGGGGUGUAGAUAAGAAAAUGGUAGAGAAAGGGAUAAAUGAGAAGAAACAUAAUUUUAAUUCCCUUUAAAACAUUUCAAUAAUAAUAAUAAUGUCACAUUUUAAUAAUAAUAAUGUAGUUGUUUAUUGACAUUACUUGAUAGAAGAAGUAUGGUGAUUCAUAACAAAAACAAACACACAAAAAAAUAGUACUAGUGAGUGAGAGAAGAGAAAGAGCUCAUGGGAGAGUGAAGAGAAGCAAAGGAAGAAAAAGCUUAACCUCAAUUUAGGGAGUUCACUGCAAUCCAAAUUUUCAGGUAGCAUACGAAUCAUAGAUGGUGUGUUCGGAUCGCUGUUGCUUUGCUAUUUAGUUGGAGUCGCUCUGUUAGGAUGUUGUUGGGAGAAACUUUUAUUUAAUUAUGUUGUUAAAUUUUUAUAACAAUUGAACUAUGUCACUUGAUUCAGUAUUUUCAAUUCGGACUUUGAAACUUAUAUUAUUUUUGUAUUUUCCGCUGCAUGAUUUUUAAUCAUUUGAGGAAUUA